UCCAAUUAAAAUUGGUUUGUAUUGCACCUUUUCUAAAUUUUCCUCUUCCACUAAUAACCAAUCAUUAAUAGGUGAUAUUUUACUAUAAGCAAUCAUUUUACUUAUAUAUGGGCUGAAUUUUGUUCUUUGCCAUCCUGGAGUCUGGUCCUUGACCCAGGAUUGUUCUCAUUUUCAUCACCGUGGUCAGAUACCAAUUGCAAAUUACUUCAAUAAUACACUAAUUUGCUUCUGUGUCAUUAUUUCGUUGCAUAUUCAUUUGUUAGUUUUGAGUUUUAAACAACAGCAAGCUUAUGUUAUUUCUCCCCCCUCUAUGGUUAUUGUGAUUUAGACUGUUAUUCCUGCUGUGAACAGUACCAUUACUGCUUACUCUACAAUAAUCGGAUUCCUUCAUCUGCGGUAAGGAAUUAGGAAAGGAUUUGUUAUUGGAAUUCUCUGUAUUUCAGUCAUACACUGAAUAAUUUACAUUUCUUUCAAUAUUCAGCAUGGCUAAACCUUCAAUAAAUGUCAAUAACUCAUUCAGUUUUCCACCCUCUCUACAAUAUUCCUUGUCGAGUGUGGUAUGGUAAACAUGUACUGAGUACUUUUACUUGGUGCAUUUCAUCUAUUGGAUCAUCUAAGUACUUCGAUUUUGUCAAAUGCCAUUCUAUGUACUUUUCAUAUGUGCCCCAUGAAUUAUAGUAUGGAGCAGGGUCUAAUAAAUUUAAGAUUAAUUUUUCCCGAGUACUUGAUGAUGAGUACUUACUCUUAAAGCUUUCUUCAAAAUCUUUCCAAUACACAAAUUCUUCUUCGUGAGCAUUUCCCCAUUCUGCAGCACCUCCCAUUAAAUAUCCUAAUGUUAAAUCUAUUUUCUUUGUCAUCCCACUUUUUAGGCAAAAAUCUGGCCAACACUCUUAAAAAAUAAAUUGGGUGUACAUCACCAUCUGGUUUAUACUUUGGAAAUUGCUUUGCUAAAUUAAACUCAUUUCCUAUAUAUAAAAACCUCCAUUUCAUCUUUAGUUACUCCUUUACUACUUUCUGUUAUCGCCUAUUGCUUCCCAUAUCCUAUAAAGUUCUUGUUUACUGUUAAUUGACCUUCCCCAGAAGUGAUAUUGUUAUUUAUUUUUGUUUUGUCUUUUACUUCUUGUUCUAUGAGUAACUGUAAACAUUUUUCCAAAUGUUGUAUAGCAUCAGGUGUCCUUAUUACAACAUUUUUCUGUAUGGACAUGAUAAGCUUGUUGGCAGCUGAAAUACCUCGUACCACUUCGAAUCAGGAAUUCACAUUAUCUACAUAGCCCGUCCACCGUCGGGUUGUUGUUCUGUGUACACUUUCUUGUAAAUCAUCUGCUAACACUUGUUGUACCUCUACUAACACAGAUUCUCGUAAUUCAUUUACUUCAGAGUUUAUUUCCAUUAUUUUAAUGUUUUGAUUAUUAAUUUGUACAUUAAAGUUAGAAUCUAAGUUAGCUUUAACCUCUUGUAUUUUAUGGCUUAGUAUGUCCUCUAUUGAUUCAGUAAUUUGUUCUUUAAUGGACUUAAUUAAUUCUAGUUGUUCCGCUUUCCAUCCUUCCUUAUCUUUCUCUGUUUGUUCUUUAAUUAUACCUUCUAGUAUCGAUCUUAACCCCUCGUUUUGCAUUUCCAUCUUUCUUGUGAUUGGAAUGCACUAUUUAUUACCAAUCAACAAUAUUAGCAUUAAACCUAUACUAACACUACUGUUUCUACUUUUUAAAUGUUUACGGCUCAUCCUUCUGGGGAGCUGUGAACUGCAUGUUGGUAGCAGAACAGCCGAAGCUGGUGCUGAAGCCUGGUCUCGUGCUGCACACUGCCGCUGACUGGACAACCCAGCACCCCAUACUUGAGUAACUGCUCACGACUCUGUGUUGAUAACUCCCUCUGGAUCAAUGUCCGCCAUAUGCGUUAUCCAGUCAAAACAAUUUUGUUAAGUUUUGAACUAAUUCUGUGCAGUCAUUGCUUGUAAUGUGGGUGCACUUUCUGCUGCCACGUUCUCCUUCUUUCUUUCUGUUUCAGAUUUGUGACAGUAAAUUAUAUUUUGCAUUCAUUAUGUGUUUACUAUUCUUUCUUAGACAAUUUGUUCGAAAGAAGCUCUUAAUUAUUUUUAUUUCUUGUUACAUGCAUUAUAAGGUACUGUUGUUGAUCGCUAGUUGCCAGUGGCAACUUCUGUCUUCUAAUCUUUGGAGUCGUAAUUCUGACUCAAAUUAAAAUCCUGCUGUUGUAUAUGUUGUAAGAUUUGCAGUGCAUCUUAUACCAGCACUAGCAAGAAGUUGCUUCCCUGGCCGAUAUAACAGGGCAAUAUUUUGCCGACCCCAAGUAGUAUUACCUUUAUCCUCUCUUCUCAGAGUAGUUUUAUGGUGGUCUGGAUCCUUCCAUGCCACCUCCCUGUUGAUUAAACUGUAGUGGAGAUUUCUGGAAUGCUUCUGUAAGUUCUCGCUGUUGCGCUACUAAAUAAAUAGCCGCACUUCUCACAAACAGGGGUAUAUUUUGCCCAGCAUUUUCACUAUUACUUUUCACAGCACAACUAACAAUUGCUACGGUAAUACUACUCUCUUGAGUACAUUCAAACGACAGUACAUGUGUACUCUAGGACCUGAGAGAAAAAACCAGAAAAUCAACUACCGCUCUUAAAUUGUUCAUUACGCUGUUGUUGAUGGGUCAUUUACUCCAAGGCCCUUGGAUUCAGGCAGUUGCUGCACCACGGCACAAAUGACUCCCGGACGACCAGUGCUUGUGGUACCAUUUUUACUGGUCCCCUUCUUGCCAGCUCCACCACUGCUCCACAUUUGCUACAUACAAGAAAGGAAAACACACAGUUUCCCUUUCUCGCUACAUUUAUCCUUAUUCAAUUUACUCACGAGCCUCUCAACUGUGUAACAUGUGACUGUAUGAAAGCAUGCCACAGGAGUUGCAACAAGUAUUGGGUAUUUUGGUUUCCACGUUUGUCAUUGAUUUUUAAAAAUUGGCUUUUUUUGUAUUCAAGGUUUUUAUCAAAUAAACCUUGCAUAUGUAGAGGAAUUUAUUUUUUAAAUAUACAAAUUUAUGCUUAUUUGACAUGUAACAUUGUAUUGUGUCAAUUUGAUUCUAAGUUCACAUUUUCUGUCUUUUGUUGCAGUGAAACGAGUUCUUAACAAGGUUGUGUGAUGUCCCCUGAUGAGUUCUGUUCUGCCCGUGGUGAACACAGUUUAUUGAAAAAUAGACAGAACAUCACUAACUUCAUAAAGUAAACAUAUUUGGCAUCUUUGGUAUUCAUCUUGUGGAUAAAGAACAGCCAAGCACUCCCUAUGGGGCAGCAUCAAUUUCACCUGACAACUCUUGUAUGGCUGCCCUUAUUUUUUCUUGUAAGAUCUGUUGCAACCUUCAUCAGAAGAAGAUGAUUUAUGGAAAAUGGUCUCUGGAUGAAAACACACACAACACUGGUGCAAUAUUCUACAAUAUUUAUUAUUUGUUCCACAAACUGCUUAUUGGCCAUCAUCUGGUACAAAGUUAAGUGUACGGUGCAGAGAUAUUUGGUUGGAUCAAAGAUUUUAAACCAGUGCAUCUACACUGUAUCUUCAUUUCCAGAUAUGAAAAUACACUCCUGGAAAUGGAAAAAAGAACACAUUGACACCGGUGUGUCAGACCCACCAUACUUGCUCCGGACACUGCGAGAGGGCUGUACAAGCAAUGAUCACACGCACGGCACAGCGGACACACCAGGAACCGCGGUGUUGGCCGUCGAAUGGCGCUAGCUGCGCAGCAUUUGUGCACCGCCGCCGUCAGUGUCAGCCAGUUUGCCGUGGCAUACGGAGCUCCAUCGCAGUCUUUAACACUGGUAGCAUGCCGCGACAGCGUGGACGUGAAUCGUAUGUGCAGUUGAUGGACUUUGAGCGAGGGCGUAUAGUGGGCAUGCGGGAGGCCGGGUGGACGUACCGCCGAAUUGCUCAACACGUGGGGCGUGAGGUCUCCACAGUACAUCGAUGUUGUCGCCAGUGGUCGGCGGAAGGUGCACGUGCCCAUCGACCUGGGACCGGACCGCAGCGACGCACGGAUGCACGCCAUACCGUAGGAUCCUACGCAGUGCCGUAGGGGACCGCACCGCCACUUCCCAGCAAAUUAGGGACACUGUUGCUCCUGGGGUAUCGGCGAGGACCAUUCGCAACCGUCUCCAUGAAGCUGGGCUACGGUCCCGCACACCGUUAGGCCGUCUUCCGCUCACGCCCCAACAUCGUGCAGCCCGCCUCCAGUGGUGUCGCGACAGGCGCGCCAGGUGGAAAUGGCAUGGCAAGCCGUUCCACAGGACUACAUCCAGCAUCUCUACGAUCUUCUCCAUGGGAGAAUAGCAGCCUGCAAUGAAAUAAGAUUAUUUCAGUGUAAAUGUAAUAUAAUCUUUUGUAACUAAGAGAAAAUAUGUGACAAAUCAACAGAUGAAUGAUGUACAAAUUAAAACAGUUGU